rnacentral:rRNA from 1 species
UUUCUUUGGAGAGUUUGAUCCUGGCUCAGGACGAACGCUGGCGGCGUGCCUAAUACAUGCAAGUCGAGCGGACCGG